rnacentral:ncRNA from 18 species
AGGGAACCCGGUGCGAGUCCGGGACUGCCCCGCAGCGGUGAGCAGGAACGGCGUUCACACGAACGCCGUCCCCGCGAGUCCGAAGACCU